UGCGCCCCCCCCCACUCUGACAUGACAACAGGGACUCACGUCAGACUUACGUCAGAAUUCUGUUCUUACGGUGCGACGUUACUCGAUUUUCGUAAGUUGGAACUCACUGUGCUGUACAUAAAUACCUGUGUCACUCGUCUACGCUAGCACGGCGCUAACAUCGUAAUCUAGAACAGGGGUGUCAAACAUACGGCCCGUGGGCCAGAUCCGGCCCACUUGGGUGUUCGAUUCGGCCCACUUGAUGAAUUUUCAAAACAAAAAUUCUACACAAACACUUCAUGUUCAUGAGGUUUUUUGUACAAAAUAUUAUUAUUUCAUGAAAUAUGAAUAAUGAAUCCAAAUAAAUAUCUUAUAUACUUGCACUUCUUUGCAUGAAAACGGGGCCUUGUUUGUUAUUGUAAGUUAUCAUUUUUUUAUGGUGAGAUUGUACUGGUCCGGCCCACUUGAAAUCGACUGUAAUUACGUGUCCCCUGAACCAAUGAAUGAGUUUGACACCCCUGGUCUAGGACAUCAAAACAUCAGAAGAGUCCAACUUACGCCCUGGAGCCAUAUUGAAAGGCAAAAAAAAAGGCAAAAAAGAAAGCAAAUGUAGCACAAUCCAAUGUAUGGCGUUUUAACCGACGCGGAAUUUGUUUAGUUGCCGUACGUCAAAAUAAUAAACGUAGGAGACGGCAACGUAACCACGAAACACCGUAGGUCGAGGACGUCGCAAACCGAGGACCUCCUGUGUUAGACUCCACAUACUGCAUACUACCGCCUCACCUGGGACCUAGUGUAGUCCAGGUUUGUUUUACUUCAUUUUACAAAAGUAUUAUUGAUGUAAUACAAACAACAAAAACGCUGUGGGAUCAAAAGACAAAAAUUAAAAAAAAAAUAAAACCAGUAUGAUAAAGCAGAACACCUCAGUCAGUCCAUGCUGGAGCCUGGGUGUCCAGAGAACUCAGCAGUAAAAAAAAAAUUAAAAAAAAAAAAAACAAAAACCGAGUGCAUGUUUACAGAACCUUUACAUUUACUGAAGGAAUGUUUUUUUUUUUCCACAGCCUGGAGUGUACAUAUCUGUUGUAUGUAUGUAUGAUAUUUUAUCUGAAGGUAACGUGCAUCGCCGCAUGCCUGCUGAAACAAAAGAAAAGUGAACAAAAAAAAGAAAAGAAAUAGGGUGCAUACAAUCUAUUCAGACCUUCACAAGCUUAAAGGGACAGUUCAGCCGAAAUAAAAUGUAAAAAAAAAAAAAAAAAAAAAAACUCAAUCGCCGCCAUGAUAACUAGAUUAAGAGCACUGCCCUUUCUGUGGUGAACUGUCCCUUUAAGCCCCUUUUUUUAUUUAUUUGGUAUUUUCUUUUACUUUCAAUAUAAUUUUUUUCGGAGGGAUUGGGGGGAAAAGAGGGUUUGAAGAAACUUGGAAAAUGAAAAAAGAAUUCUUACAGAAAUAUUCUGGUACUAUACUGUAGAUGAUGCACCAUCCUUACACACACACACACACACACACGCACAGAACUCUUUCCUGUUCUGUAAAACUGUAAACGAAUCAACUGCCUUAACAAAUAAAUGUUGCUCCAUGCUCGUGCCCAAGGCUCCACAUGCACACAGACAGUCGUCGGGAGAUAAAAUGAAAUUUACCCAAGGUAAACACUGGGUUUAAACGGUCCCACCCCCGAUUAACAAAAUAUAGAUUUAAACUGGGGCUGUCAAACAUACAGCCCGUGGGCCAUAACUGGCCCGCCCGCAGGUUCAAUCCGGCCAAAAUGAAGGUGAUGUUUUGUCAAAUUAUAUUCCGUUAAAUAUGAAAAUGUAUCGUGGUAGUUGCGUUCCAAGGCCCAUCGCGAAAUGGGAAAAAUUGCGAAGUACAGGCAAGAUAGUUAAUAUAUUAUUUACGUAUAUAUUUACCCUUUCGCACGCAAUUAUAUCCACAGUAGAGUUGAAUAAUGGCGACGCAGAGCGAAGUGAACGACUCAGUUAGCCAAUAGUACACCGAGUCCACAUUGUAUUAGCCAAUAGUAUUCUGUGUACGAUGUGUCGCUCGGAAUCUACAUUUUGAAAGCCAAAGGUUUCCUAUGUGUAAUUAUUUUGUAUUGUCUUUUAGUUUAUUUUUUUGCUAUAUUUUGGGAGAUCGGAUUUUUUUAAAAAUUUGCGAUGUACUGAGGGAACGAAAGGAGAACUGCGAUAUAGAGAGGGGACACUGUAUACUGUAUACUGGUCUAAACAUUUAGGUUUGUUUUGUUUUUUUUAAAUCAACAAUUCUCAGAAAAUUAAGAACCUGAGAAUUGUUUGAAUUGAACAGUAAAGAACAGGAAUGUACCUCAGUGCAGAGCUGCUGUUAAAAAAAAAUCCAGAGAAGAAGAAACCAGGUCAAGUGAUUGGUAGUGUUAUAGACUACCUCAGUGUUAAAGCAGACUGAUUACUGUCAGUGAUACAUUUAAAAAACAUGGCUGGAUCAAUUUUUUUUUUUUUCAAGGUGCAUGUCUUUCCUCCAGUAAAAACAUCCAAAUCCGUGAACUCCACCGUAUUAUGGUUUCGGACAUGUCUGAAAAGUGAUGGGUGACGUGAGGAAUAUUCAACCGCCACAUGAAACCAACAUGCUAGAUGGUGCUGAAUUCUAUGCACUGUACCUUUAAGUCAAUGCAGCAGCAGAGAGAGUUGUGCAUGGUUAGCCAUUUUAAGCUGCAAAGUUUAUGGUGUGAGUAGUGGAUUCUAACAGCUGUGGAAUAAAAGCUACUGCAAAGUUGUAAAAUCCAUACGUUUUCCUUCGAAUUAGUCCCGAGCGGCUGUUAGCAGAAGAAGAAAAAAGGGCCCCCGUUGGUCGUUUCUCCACUCAGCCCCGUGGUGAUGGUUCUAUGAAAUGUCAGAUUCCAUUUGAGAACUGAGCAGAAAAAUGAGGUGGAGAGUGAGUAAUAGUUCCUGCUCCUGCAUGUCUUUCUGCUGUUGUGAACACCUGCAGCUCUUCAUGUGUGCAGUAAACAGAGGAGAAAAUGUCCAGACUCAGAUUUCUACCUAGAGUUCAUGUUCAGUAAUGGGAAUAGCACAGGUCAGGCAGUAGGGUUGCGGGUUUGAUUUCCCCCUUGGUAGGUUACGUGUAUACCAACCUGCGUAGUACUGUAUUAGUACAGACCUCAAACCCUAAACAUUUCUGAUAAUAUCGGUCGGUUGAUAUUAGCAUGAUGAUGUAAUAACAAAAAUAAUUUUGUUUUGCACAGACAAUGCUAAUGCCUUUAGUGGGGCGUCGCAACAAAAGUCGCUAAUGUGUUAUAUCCACGACAGGUGAUGUUACCUAAAAAUUGUUUUGGGGAAAGACAGCGGCUUGAUCAAUAUCGGUUGAUAUCGGAAUUGGAAAUUUCCGAUAAUAUCGCCCUACUAAUAUUAUCGGUCCGAUAUUAGCAUAUCAGUAGGAAUUGUUAUCGAUUUUUCCUUCAAUAAUGUAAACCCGAUAACGCAAUGUCUGGGUUUAGCCAAAUAUGCUGGAAUCACUUUAGAUUUUGUUUUGUACAGACGAUGCUAAUUUGUGAAAUGCCUUUAGUGGGACAUCGCAAUCAAAGUCGCUAAUGUGUUAUAUCCACAACAGGAGAUAUGUGAUGUUACCUAAAAAUAGUUUACGGGGGAAACAGCGGCAUGUAUCGGUAUGGGUUGAUAUCGGAAUCAGAAAUAAAGUGUUUGGACGAUAUCGGAUAUCGGUGUUUUAGCUGCCUUUUUCUUAGACAUUGAAUUUUUUUCCGUCUUUGUGAAAAAGAUGUGGGAGAAACUUUCUGUUGCAGGGUCAAAUUUUUAGCAAUUCAUAUCUAUUUAUACUGCGUCUUCUUCCCGGUAUCGUACUCCCAACUCUGUUUCAUGUGAGGGCAGUGGUGUUUGGGUUCCAGCCCCCUCCAUUUUUUUCUUUGUUAUUGUGGUCCAAACAGUCGUAGUUUAGUCUCGUGUGACUCUGAGAUGAUUCGGUUUUUCUGUAGUGAGUCAAUACAUUUUCGACACAUAAAAUCUGGUCUAUUUAUUCAAGUGCAGAUUUGGAAGUGGUCUAAGUGGGUGGUUCCAAUCCCACGGACAGUCAAGGAAAAUGUCCUGUCGCUCUUUGCGGUACACCCCCAUCGCUGCUUUUCAUUUUAUUGGUACAUUUAGUCUCUCAGUCCUGGUUCGUCCAGAACAUUCUCCCUCUGCACGCUGUCGGUUCGACUGGUUUUCACACAUCUGUAGUGUAUUGUUAUCGAAGGCGUGUUUUCCUACGACACGAGCGGCUCGAACAACACCGAUCCUCGGGUGAUUCUUCCUUUGGCCUUUUCUACGACUGCCUCCACUGCUAAGAUAACAAGGCAGGAAUUAUCUUCACAAGUGCUAUUAAUAGCAGGCGAGUCACAUCUUGUCCCUCAGAGAGAUAGCAUCCUGCACCCCAGGCAAGACUUUUCUUUUUCAUAGUUGUUUUUUUUUUUUUUUUUUUUCUUUUAUGUGUUUGACAGGCGUGUACACGCAGGAACAGACUGUCCAGACGCUCACUUACUACCAUUAUCCCAGUAUCUCAGCUACUGAUGGCUGUUGAUUUAGCUGUGGCUACUUUAAUGAUUAGGUUACCGUCGGGAGAAGGAGGAGAGUUGACUUUUGCAUUUUUUUGAUUUUAAAGGGCCAAGAAAAAAAUAAACAAAUAUAAAAAAAAA